UAAAAAGAUUUACUUUAAAAUGGUUCUAUUGUUUUAUUUACGUAUAACAUAUAUAACGUCUGCGUAGUUUAACCUAGCGGCCGUCCCGACUUCGCUCGGCAUACGUGAAACGGGAUUUCAUUUAAUACAAUGUAAAAAAAUCAAAAAUAAUUUUUUGGUGAUACAAUCAAAAUAUUAUAUUAAACCACUGACACACUGAUCUUUCAAGUAAGUUCACUAACAAAGUAAUAUAAUAUAAUAACACAGAGAGAGCAUCAAAGGAUGACUACGGAAAAACAUUCUUUUAUCUGGUUUAUUUUCGCGAAGCCUCCAACAGGAUGAUAUAAUAUGCAUAGAGUCUUUACAUAUAAGAGGCCCACGGGCGCAGUUGAGAGCAAAGUGUACAUAAAACGGUAUAGAAUAGCUGUAAAUUGGUUUGCUCGAAAGAGUUUGCAGUAGUGUGUAUUUGAAGUUGAUGCUCGCCGGACGGUGCAUAGAAGUUAGAGACCCUAGCAAUAUUAUGACUAUGAGAGUUUGUUCGCAUGUUUGAAAUUUAAAUCCGGAGUGUUCUUUCAUUUCAUCUGGUAAACAAAUAAACUGUGUCACGGAAACGUGUU